ensembl:snoRNA
CCACAAUGAUGGCAAUAUUUUUCGUCAACAGCAGUUCACCUAGUGAGUGUUGAGAGUCUGGGUCUGAGUGA